UACGUAGGGGGCAAGCGUUGUCCGGAAUUAUUGGGCGUAAAGAGCGUGUAGGCGGUCCGGUAAGUCAGCUGUGAAAGUCAAGGGCUCAACCCUUGAAUGCCGGUUGAUACUGUCGGGCUAGAGUCCGGAAGAGGCGAGUGGAAUUCCCGGUGUAGCAGUGAAAUGCGCAGAUAUCGGGAGGAACACCAAUGGCGAAGGCAGCUCGCUGGGACGGUACUGACGCUGAGACGCGAAAGCGUGGGG
rnacentral:rRNA from 1 species